AUGGGCAGCGGCUCUCGGCGGCGGCGGGGGCUCGGCGACGCGGGCGCUCGGAUCAGCGGCGCGCAGGGACCGGGGCGCUGCGUCCCAUCGGGGCGGCCCCGUCCGAGGAGCCAGGCAGCGAGCUGCGGGGUUGGGGGAGGAAGUCAGGCUGCAAGCCGCCGGGGCCAGAGGGCUGGGCCGGGGGCAGGAAGCUGCGGCGCGGGCUCCCCCCUCGGCGAUCUUCUAACUUCUGCUGUCUCUCCCGGUGCGCGCAAACCGCAUUUCGGCGCCGCCGCUACGCACCCAGCCCCAGGGGGGCGGGCUGGAGGGAGGGGGCGGGCGCCGGGCGCCUGCCGGGGGUCCGCCGCAGCCAUCGCGCUGCAGAGAGGGGGCUACCGACCCGCUUCACCUGCCGCAGAGGGGGCGGCGGGCGCCUCUUCACCUGCCGGAGCGGGAGCGACAGAAGCGAGGCAGAGGCGGCGGCGCGCUCGGCGGCGCCUCCGGGUCCUAGAACCGCAGGCUCCUGCUAGCUCGGAACCGGGGCCCAGGACCGAGCUGAAGACCAGAGGGAACCAUCUGCAAAUAAGAACCCCAAAGCAGGUGUGGGGGGCGCAGAUCCAGGCCAGUGGAGACCCCCGCGACCUGUUCCACUCUGGACAGACUCUGCGCCCGUGCCAAUAUCCUCAGGGCUUUUAGAAUGGAGGUGCCCGUGGAAAAAGGCAGGCAGGCAGAGUCUGGAGACCAUCAAGGCGGUCUCAAGGAGAAGCGCAGGGUUGGGGAACAGGAGGAUUAAGGCCAGCAUCCACGCUGGGAAAGAAGCAGGCACUGCGGAGAGGGGGGCGGAAAUCUUGACGCUGUCACCUCCAGGGAUCUAACUAAAGUGGCCUCUCACUCACCUUGGCGAAUGAGAGACUCUGAAGUCUGGCAAUUACAGCAGUACUUCCAGAGGUCUUCUUUCCGUCAUCCUGACAAUGACCAGGGAAGGAUCCACCAGGCAACAACUGUGGCUCAGUGGUAGAGAAUCUACCUGCCAAUGCAGAAGACUCGGGUUCAAUCCCUGGGUCAGGAAGAUCCCCUGGAGGAGGAAGUGACAACCCACUCCAAUAUUCUUGCCUGGGAAAUCCAAUGGACGGAGGAGCCUGGCGGGCUACAGUCCAUGGGGUUGCGAAGAGUCAGACGCGACUGAGCAAGCAACUCAACAGCAACAAAGGCAGCUGUCAGCAGCCACUGAACUAUCUUUGUCAGCGCCUGCAGUGAGGAGGGGAGGCCAAGCACCAGGCACAUGUCCCUUCCCUGGAGACUGCAGUGGUCACGAUGUCUUCCGAGCACCAGCACGAUGGCAGAUGCAGGGGCAGGCGAUUCCAUGUGCCAUUCAAAACUGAACAGCAGCCCUGCAAGGCAGACCUCUUUCUUUUCUGUGCUCUCUGAGCACAGUGUUCUCCUGAGUAACUGAUUUACCCAAGGUCACAGAACUGGUAAUGUCAGAGCUAAGAUCUGAAACUGUCAGAAAUCCCUGAGCCUGUUUUCUGGUCUUGAAAAUCAGUGAUAGGAUUUCAUAGAACUAUUUUGAAUAUUAAUUAAAAUUUCAAGUAAAGGGAUAACAUAGACCUUUUAAAUUUUUUUAUUUAUUUGUUUUAAAUUUUUUUCUGUGCUGGCUCUUCAUUGCUGCACGUGGGCCUUCUAGAGUUGCAGCAAUCGGGGGCUACUCUUGGUGUGGGGGCUUCUCAGUGCAGUGGCUUCUCUUGUUGCAGAGCACUGGCUUUAGGGUGUGAGGGCUCGGUAGUUGUGGUGCCCUGGCUCAGUUGU